GCCUCGGUGGUGUGGUGGUCAAGACGCUCGACUGAAAAACAGGAGGGCUUGGGUUUAAUCCCAGCCGAGGUA
rfam:Asian citrus Psyllid, Diaphorina citri - Florida Strain, whole genome shotgun sequence.